AACGAACGCUGGCGGCAGGCCUAACACAUGCAAGUCGAACGCCGUAGCAAUACGGAGUGGCAGACGGGUGAGUAACACGUGGGAACGUACCCUUCGGUUCGGGAUAACUCAGGGAAACUUGAGCUAAUACCGGAUAAGUCCGAGAGGAGAAAGAUUUAUCGCCGAGGGAUCGGCCCGCGUCUGAUUAGCUUGUUGGUGAGGUAACGGCUCACCAAGGCGACGAUCAGUAGCUGGUCNGAGAGGAUGAUCAGCCACAUUGGGACUGAGACACGGCCCAAACUCCUACGGGAGGCAGCAGUGGGGAAUAUUGGACAAUGGGCGCAAGCCUGAUCCAGCCAUGCCGCGUGAGUGAUGAAGGCCCUAGGGUUGUAAAGCUCUUUUACCCGGGAAGAUAAUGACUGUACCGGGAGAAUAAGCCCCCGGCUAACUUCGUGCCAGCCGCCGCGGU
rnacentral:rRNA from 1 species